UCGUGAGGGAGAGCAAAUCCCCAACGCCUCUCCUCCCUAUCCUGUUAGUGCACGACCGCCCCUCGCCCUCCUCAUCUCCGCCGCCGACCGUGAGGCCUCCAUGGACGGCGCUACGGGGACCUCCUGGAUGGGUCGGACGCCGACCAUGGUCUCCACCGCAUCGCUGUGUGGUGUUGCUCUCGCCGGGACGGCGACCUCAGGGUGGCAUGCGGCGGCCUCGGGGCGGAGCAGGCGCGGGCCGGGGACGCCGACCACCGGCCGGGGAAGGCGCGUGCCGGAGGCGGCGCCCUUGGGACGGAGAAGACGUGGGCCUGGGACGAUUAUCUUGGGGCGGCGGCAGCGACCUUUGGCCCUUGGGGCGGAGCACACGCGGGCUGGCGGCGGCCAGGUUGGGGCGAAGCCGGCCGGGGCCGGCGGCGGCUGGCGGCGUCCAUGUUGGGGGCCUCCUUCCUCUCUGCAGGUCGCCCUCCUCUCCUCCACGCCCAUCCUCCUCUCUGGACAGCAAGCCCAUCAAGCCAUCAACAAGGUCCUCGCGGUCUUGUGAGGGGGUGCCGUUCGUGGCGGCAACGGCGAACUACAGAAUUCAGGACCACGAUGGGAUCCUCGACGGCGUGUUGUUCUCAACUGGCCUCCUGGACGUCCGCCGCGUCGAAAUCUCCGAUGUGGCCGGUUGGGGAUUCUCCUGCGCCGGCGACAUAGAUGAAGGUCGUGGUUCUUCUUCUACUCCAUCUCUUCUCGGAAGAAGAGGAGUGUGCCUGCUUCCAUGACCCCGAGGAGGGAUUAUUCUCGGCCACUGGCGUCGCGAGCAGCACGACCCUCCCCUCGGAGGCCGCCCUAUCCUCUGCACAUCCCCCGAUAAAGUUGUGAAAGUUAAUCUGAAAUGGCUUUUGCAUCUGCCGCCAAGGCCACCGGAGUAGGCAAAAGUCCGCUCCCGGUGUUCAAGUCCUUCCUCUGCAUCUGUUUUCUUGGUUGGUGGUAGGUCCUGGUUGUUUUAGCUGGAUUUGUUUUUCAUCUAUUUUGCAGAUCGGUCCGGUCUGGUGGUCUGGUGACACACAUAGAGCAAGAAAGGCAAACAUAGUCCUUAUCAUGAUAUCCAUGUCAGCUAUGAAGUUGGUGCCGGUAGUUAGCGCCUACAUCGCAGCCAAGAAGAGCAAGGUAAGUCAUUAAUGUCGUAUGGUGUUACUCAUGGAUGUCCUCUGUGGGGUGCUUGCGCAUAUAUUUUUUUGUCCAAAUAUCUCGACUGCUUUUCUGCAUCUCGCACUCCAUGCCAAUGAUCUAUGUUUAAUCUUUGUAGACACAACAAGCUUAGAAGUAAGUUUUCAGCAAGCUACCUGUUUCAUGAUAAUAAUAAUAAGCCCCUGUCAUGCUAAAUGCAAAUAUUGGUGGGUUUCUUACCUGUGGAUAUUCUUUGGUAGCAUUAUCUAUGGAUUUUAAAACAAAGUUGGCCAUGGAAGUCAAGGUGAUUAAUUAUGUGUUCGGAAAGAGGUCAUAGGUUGAUAAAUUGGUCGUAUCCUAUACAAUUCGGUUUCAUUCUGAAGGAAUACCAUGUACUCCCAAUUAUGGUUGAUGUGAGAACAAAACUAUAACCUCUAACUUGAGAUGUGCCCGAACUAAUAAUGUUAGUGGACAGGAUUUUCAAAGAUAGAAGCUUUCAUAGAUUCUUGAUUACAGUUGAUUGAAGGUUUCUUGGUUUUCAGGCUAUCCAAUCUACUUUUCAGUAUGCACCUGUAUUAUUAAUGCAAACAGAGAAGGGGCUAAACAUAGGCUGUAUUACUUGGAAUCUUAUCUGCCAUGUACCCUCAUACUUUCCACAUGAAAGGUCGAAGAAAGACUGGACAAGGACUCACUACUGGAAACUCGGUUACUAAUUUUUGUACAAAUACAUUUAGACCAUAGAACUUUCAGACUUGCUGAUAUAAUGAUUAAACAUAUAAUAUAAUCGUGGGAUGAGGUUUCAGCAUUCGGAAGGAAAGGGUAAUGUCUACCAUCAGCUUCUUAUGCUUUCAUUGGUACUCCUGCUGGUUCAGGUACCACUUCAACUGAAGCUUUUUGGUAGUGAUAUUACUUUUUAAUUCAUAUUUAUUUGGAGCAAGUUAUAGUUUUACAAUGAAUAAGAUCAUAUUAAUUUAUCUCAAAAACAUACCAAUUCUUCCUUUUGCAUAUUUCUGCCGUUCAGGGGGGUCAUGGGCAGAGAUGGCGGCAUUUGCCAUCCCGCGUGCGGCUAGAAAGCCAGUGAUGCUAACAAGGCAGUGAAGCACUGUACACAUAUCCAUUCCAGCAUACUUAUCUAAGACCAUAUGUGCACCUAUGAAUUGCUUAAUAUUUUUGUGCUCUUUUUGUUUAACUGAUCUGUAUGACUACUAUAUAAACUUAUUUGUAUGUAUUCUUCAUACAUUUAUAUUUAAUACCUAUGCUAAAUUAUCAGUUAUCACCAUGUAUAUUGUAAUGUACGACUCAUCAUUCUUUUCUACUGUCCGCGCAACAAUAUAAUUGGAAGAAUGUAUGGUGUUUUGUAUUGAGUAACUCCAAUAUAUAUGUAUUAUGAGCAGAAGUUCUAGCAGCUAGAAAACGUUAACAAUGUUUUUUUCUAAUUUAUUAGCUACUACUUUAGCGACAAGCAUUGUUGAUGAUUUGCUCUAAUCUUUGCCCCCCUGAAGUGCAAGUGCUGAUGGAUUCUGCUGAUGUUGCCAUGAGUAAACGGCCUGCCAGUGGUCACCGCCAACGCAUCGCUUCACGUUCUUCGCCUUUGUGUAGGCCGUACAUCGAGAGCUAGGCGAAUUCCUGUUCCGGUGAUUCCACACCAGCCAUUUUUAUUUGCUCUACUGUUGACCCUUUUUUGUGCCAUCUGUUGACCAUGCCGAGGAGUAUUUGGUGUUCAUUAUUCUAUGGAUAUGGAUGUUUGGAGACAGUGAGCUCAGUACUCACACUUGACAACUUAUAGCUUCCAAGACAAGUUUGAUGUAUCAGAUACAGAGGCACAACAUGUUGAUCUGGAAUCAAGAAUAAUCACCAAUGCCAAGGCCCUACAAGUCCUCACUGCUGAAGCCACCCUGCCACUUCGGGACCAACAAGGGAGAUUAUCAUCAUCCCCUCAUCUGACGAGGAGGAUGGCGAUGCGGCGUACUAUGGAGCUUCAGACCGACCGCCUGCAGCAGAAUACAGAUAACUUUGGGCACUAGCAGCGCCACAUCUCUGAAUCUUCAGGUUUCUCUCCACGCAGUACCUGCCUUCACUUGGUAGUCUGCCUAGAAAAUGCACAAAUACCCAAAAAGCACUAAAGAUAGAAUUGUAGGCCGCAAUGCGGGACCAGUAUGAUCUGCUUUUGUUUGCCAGUAAAGUGAUCGCUGAUGUCAUCUAUAUUCUGUUGUUGUAGUCAAGCUCUAGCUAGCAUUAGACAUUUUCUGAUGGACAUGGAUCCUCUGAUAUAUAAUGAAGAAGCAUCAGUUAAAUUAUCUAUCGCAAAAGAACCCACUGUGUAACGAUCACUGCCAGUUUAUGUUGUACAUUAUCUAUUUAUAUUACUGUUGAUAAUC